CGUAGGAGGCAAGCGUUAUCCGGAGUAACUGGGCGUAAAGGGCGAGUAGGUGGUUUUGUAAGUUGGUUAUGAAAGCUCCUGGCUAAACUGGGAGAGGCUGACCAAGACUGCAAGACUUGAGUGGAGAAGAGGUAAACGGAAUUCCGCGUGUAGUGGUGAAAUGCGUAGAGAUGCGGAAGAACACCAGUGGCGAAGGCGGUUUACUGGUCUCCAACUGACACUGAACCGCGAAAGCAUGGGUAGCGAACGGGAUUAGAAACCCCGGUAGUCCAUGCCGUAAACGAUGCACACUAAACGUUCGACAUCCGCGAGGGUGUUGAGUGUUGAAGCCAACGCGAUAAGUGUGCCGCCUGGGGAGUACGGUCGCAAGGCUA
rnacentral:rRNA from 1 species